rnacentral:rRNA from 1 species
GACGAACGCUGGCGGCGUGCUUAACACAUGCAAGUCGAACGGAAAGGCCCUGCUUUUGUGGGGUGCUCGAGUGGCGAACGGGUGAGUAACACGUGAGUAACCUGCCCUUGACUUUGGGAUAACUUCAGGAAACUGGGGCUAAUACCGGAUAGGAGCUCCUGCUGCAUGGUGGGGGUUGGAAAGUUUCGGCGGUUGGAGAUGGACUCGCGGCUUAUCAGCUUGUUGGUGGGGUAGUGGCUUACCAAGGCUUUGACGGGUAGCCGGCCUGAGAGGGUGACCGGCCACAUUGGGACUGAGAUACGGCCCAGACUCCUACGGGAGGCAGCAGUGGGGAAUAUUGCACAAUGGGCGGAAGCCUGAUGCAGCAACGCCGCGUGCGGGAUGACGGCCUUCGGGUUGUAAACCGCUUUCGCCUGUGACGAAGCGUGAGUGACGGUAAUGGGUAAAGAAGCACCGGCUAACUACGUGC